UAUGCUCCGAUGCUCUAGAUUACGCGAAGACCUUACCAAGGCUUGACAUAUAGAGGAAAAGUGCAGAAAUACACUCCCCGCAAGGUCUCUAUACAGGUGGUGCAUGGUUGUCGUCAGCUCGUGUCGUGAGAUGUUGGGUUAAGUCCCGCAACGAGCGCAACCCUCGUCCUAUGUUGCCAGCACGUUAAGGUGGGAACUCAUGGGAUACUGCCGGGGUCAACUCGGAGGAAGGUGGGGAUGACGUCAAAUCAUCAUGCCCCUUAUGUCUUGGGCUUCACGCAUGCUACAAUGGCCGGUACAGAGGGCAGCAAUACCGCAAGGUGGAGCGAAUCCCAAAAAGCCGGUCUCAGUUCGGAUUGAGGUCUGCAACUCGACCUCAUGAAGUUGGAGUCGCUAGUAAUCGUGGAUCAGCAACGCCACGGUGAAUACGUUCCCGGGUCUUGUA
rnacentral:rRNA from 1 species